GUCCCUGUUGCAGGGCCUGCGGGGACGCAGAUAGCCCCUGUGUCAGCCCGUCUUGGGCCAGGUGUGGUUGAUGGCAUUGUGCUGCCUCAGUGCCGCCCAUGGUGAAUGUGAGCCUCUUAAGUAGGCCUGUCCCCCUAAAAUGUACUGUUAGACCAUAAACUAUAUACAAAAUGUAAUGCAAUCGUAGAGAGGUAAAUUAACGAAUAAGAAGACCAAAACAACAAGUGAAUAGCCGGUGAGGCUCGGCCAUCCCCUUCGGAAGCACUUAGGUGGUGGCUACAGUCUGUGCGGCGUGGGUGGACCCCCCAGGAACAAAAGGUUUGGAGGUAGCCGGAUUCCAUUUGUGUGGUUUAGGGUUUGUGGGGCGUCGUCGUAUGGCGUCUGCUGGGAGCCCCAGAGUGGGAAGGUGGGCCUCCGCCUCUUGUAAGUCCGCGAUGAGGUACGUGGUGUCUCCCUGAUGCACUUGAAGCUUGUGGGGUGAGCGCCAUCUGUAUUUGAUAUCUCGCUCGCGGAGCAGGGUGGUGAAAGGCCUAAGGGUUGAGCGCCAGGCCAUGGUUCCCCUGGAUAAGUCCGGGUAAAAGGAGAGAGUCAUGUCCUCAAAUGUGAGCGGAGUAGUGUUCCUAAUGGCGGCCAUUACUGCUUCUUUGUCCUGUCGCUUCUGGAAUUUGACUAUUAGAUCCCUAGUUGCUGCUGAUGGGGCCAUUGGUGGUUUAGGGAUUCUAAAUAUGCCGUCGAGGCCUACUCCCUUGGCUUGCUUUGGUGGCAGUAUUUUACUCACCAGGCGCCGCAUGAGGUGGGGGAGUUCAGAGUCUGGAACUGAUUCUGCGAUGCCUCUGACCUUAAGGUUCUGGGCACGUCGCGAGUCUUCCAUUGCCGCCAUAGCCCCUUCUACCUUCAAGUGCUGUUGCUGCAGCAUUUUCAUCUCCUGCUGGAGGGAGGUCACUUGCCUGGUAUGCGUGUGGGAGUUCUGCUCCACAGUGUCCACGCGGUCCGUAAGGCCCUUUAUGUCUCUCCGCAUGUCGGCUACGUCCUCCUGAAUAUUUUGGCGGAGUUCCGCCAGUAGCUCCCUCAUUUCGGCUUUCGUGACCGGAGCUGAGUCAGGCUGCGCGGCCUGCUUUGGGUUAGGCUUCUCCGGCGGCCACCUUGCUGGUGAGCAGGGCUCGUCUGGGUCAGAGAGCAGGUCGUCUGAGUCUUCUAGGCCUUCUAUGUAAGCGGCCAUGUCAGGCUCUGGUGCGCCAUGUGCCCGCCGCCAUAGGUCUCCUAUGCUAGCGCCCGGCCGGGGCAAAUCGGGCUUGGGUUUUUUUGUCUUCCUGCCCAUUACUGCUACUUGUGUGGGUAGCUGGGGUGCUUUGGGGGGUGAUAUUUCCAAGGUUAAUUGGUCGUUUUAGGCCGUUAUCGCCAGGAGCUCCCUUCAGAUGCG